CUGCUUCUCACUCAUUCAAAUCUCUCACUCACUCCUCUCUCUCUCUCUCUCUCUCUCUCUCACACACACAAAUAUCUCUCGAUUCUUCAGUUCAGUUCAGUGAUUCUUCUUCUUCAAUUCUGGUGAUUCAUCUCGGGAUUGCGAUUUCGAAGUUCGAUUUUGAGCAUAGAUCCGUGAUUCAUCUCCGUGGAUUUGGAACUCUUCGUCUUCUUCGAUCAGAGGAAAAAAUGUAGGUGAAACUUUAAUUUAUUGGUUCAAACAUUAAAAUAUGCCCAAUCUGGUCCUCCUCCUCCUCCUCGUCGUGUUCAAACGAACGACCUCCUAAAAAGAGGAUCCUCCGACAACGUCCGUUUUCCGCUGAGAACUUCAUUCGAUGAUUAAACUCUUCACAGAUACAGAAAUUUUUCGGUUAAUGGGUAAAGAACAUGCACUUGUCGUAUCAAAUCACAAAAGCGACAUUGAUUGGCUUGUUGGAUGGCUUUUGGCUCAGGUCAUAGGUUGGUCUAUGUGAUUUUCUGAGUAUCUAUUUCUUGAAAGAAGCUGGGCUAAGGAUGAAAGAACUUUAAAGGUAUGGGUGUACUUAAUACAUUUCUGAACAAAUGCUAUGUGUUUGUAGGUUUGUGAUGCUCGCUUUCAAGGGGCCUUAAUUGAUCUCAUUCAAAUCUUGUGGGAUUGAAUCUGCAGCCAGGUCUUCAGCAAUUACAGGAUUUUCCUCUGCCAUUUUGGUUGGCACUUUUUGUAGAAGGAACUCGCUUUACACAGGCAAAGCUUGAAGCAGCUCAGGAGUAUGCAGCUUCAGCAGGGUUGCCUGUUCCUAGAAAUGUUUUGAUUCCUCGUACCAAGGUAAUACUUUCAUUUCACCUCUUUAUAAGGUAGAAGGCUGCAUUUUCCCCUGAUGUAAUUUCCUGGUUCUCUUUGAAUCCAUUUUCUUUUGGCUAGUUUGUGAACAACUUCCUUCCCACUAAGUGUCUAAAAUUUCUUCUAUAAAUAUCCACAUGCGUACCUGUUGAUUGUGUGCAAAAUUGUGCACUUUUGAUUUUGGUUUGUGGCUAAAUUUGGAGGCUUAAACCUUCUGAGCAAAGGGUUUUCCUAUGUUAUGGUUGGAUUUCCAUUUGUAGUACAUAAAAUAUUGGAAGUAAAUUUUCAAUAAAAUUAAAUUAUAAAAUGUAUACUCAAGAUGAGGCUGUUAUAAACUUUCCUUAGUUUUGCUACUACAUGUUCCAAUGUCUGUCUUUGUGUCUGAUAUUUUGCAUGUUAUUGGGUUUGACUUCUGUAACCUCUAAACUAGGUAGGUGUAAGUAACUUUUUUAUGACAUUGAGUGAAAAGUGUCAUAAUUAAAUAAAUUUUUAUGGCAUUUUGUGAAAUGCGACUAAGCCAAAAUCUUUUAAAACUAUCUAAUGGCAUUUUUUU